rnacentral:lncRNA from 1 species
GUGGCCAUGGCAACUGUUGUUGUGUAAUGAAGUGCUGCCAGGAUCUAGGCCAGGAGCAGAGCUUCGUAAAGGAAAUGAAAACUAAAAAAAAAAAAAAUCAAACCAUGGAAAGGCAUGAUGUCAAGCCAAUGAAAUCCAAGCACUCCCUCUUCCUGGCGUCACACACACUUUUCCACACUGGCUGCCUGCAAUUCAGCCUUGCCACGGCUGACCCGAGGACCAGCAGCUGAAAAUUCACUGCUCAAACCAGUGCAUGUGGUUGUUUGUGCUACUGUGUUCUCCCCCAGCAAUAAUCAAGAACAAAUUGUAUCCACCACUCAUCUAGUUGUUCUUUGAGGAAGUGGUUCAGACAAUGAAACACAUCUGAUUGAGCAGCUAAGCCAACAGAACAGGCUACCUACUGCAGGAUGCCAGGCUGGAGGUGCUUAAAUACUUGUUAUUUUGACCCAGAGUUGUUUGCAUUUGCUUUGCUGAAAAUCCCUUCAUUGAAAGAAGAGGCGUCCUUAAAAGUGUGCGACCUUGAAGGUCUCUCUAGGUUUGUCUCCAUGAGGGGCAAAUUCACCAAGGGAGCCGGAGGCCUGGGUGCAGGGAUGCCUGAGCCCUUUCUGUGCCAGCCAGUUCAGAUGCAGGAACCUCAUCCCUGCUAUGGGUUUUCAAUCAACACUAACCUUGGUAACUGGUGUCUGUGAGCUAAACACUCUGGGACAACAAUGCUGUGAGGAGAAAAAAGCCAUUAAUGGAGCUUUAAACUACCUGCAAAAAGUACCCAGGCAAGUGCUGUUUCCUUGCCACUGCUUUCACCCACUGUAAAACCCAAGGUGCCCCAUGUCAGGCUGAGCUCAGGAGAGCCUGUCGGAAUCUGUGGUAUUGAUGAUUCCGAGAUUGUAAAAAGUCUCUGUCUUUCUGCCCCAAAGAAGAAGCCAUAAUUCGUCUGUGCUGUUUUCAAGGUUGUUUAUUCUUGCUUAUCUCUAACAAGUUCUGCUGCCCUGCCACAGGUCUGUCCUGCAGGGCAG